UCAGAGACCCACCUACUACCUUUUUGGUGGCUCCAGUAGCUCUCUCUGUCCUUGUCUUUUCAUUGGCAUAAUGUCUGCUGAGCUGCAGCCUGCCUUUGUGAUUCAAAAGCUCUUCGUGGCAAGGGUUUCUUGAUGCAGAUGAGGCUUUCUCCCAGCGAAGGUACAGGUAAUCCUCAUUACUGAGAUUUCUAGGAGAAAGGGGGUUACUUCAAUCCAUUAGGUGGUUGUUUCCAGCAGUGCUGCAUAUGAGUACCAAUUCCUGCAGUCUUCUCUUCAGGCAGGAGCAACCUAGUGGGUGUGCAGAUGCUGUAAAGAUGCUGGUACAGGUUGCAGACCAAGCCUGGACACUGAAAGGAGGAAACACACACAGCUAAGCCUGCUCAAACCUGCAAGGAAGGAGCAAGGACCCACCACAACACUGUAUGCAUCUGGAUAAGCCCUCAGGAUAGUGCUGGUUUGCUUUAACCCUUCCACCCAUAUUCUUCUGAAGAAAGGAAGGCUGAUGGUGUCAACCUUGGGACAUUGGGAAGGUGAGCUUGACAUCAAACAAAAGUGGUAGCUAUUGGAAUUGUUUCUCGUAUAACAAUUUCCAUUGUCAAUUACAAGGCUUUUCUUUACCAGUUAGGGAGAGGUGUUUGUGGUAUUGUAACUGAACUACUAAUUAUUGCUUCUGCCUUUUGAUCAGCCUGCUAAAGCAUAAACUGGACAACCAGCAGGCUCUUGCCUCCACGUCUAUGGUACAUCCUCUCUGACCCAGAACAAAGUGGAAGAACUUCCUGGUUUGGUGGGAGUUAAUUCCAUGUGAGAAAAAGCUUUGGACUGACUUUGAACAACUUAGUGUGGGCAGAGCGAGAUUUGAAGAUCUCAGACUGUGUAGGGACUAUGGAAAAAAAGUAAUUUGAAAAUUAAUGAAAUCUCUGGGAAUAGGCUGAGUCUGUCCUGUUAACUGUAUUUCUAUAUAAAUGAUAAUUAUAAAAUUAUUAAGGAGUGAGAGGUCAAUUAAAAGUUUCUCUGGAGGAAAACUCAGGUUCCAAGUUCUGUCUUUGAGAUUUGGACAAAGUCUGAUACAAGCCUGACCAGAAGUCUCUGGUUGGCAAUAGACUUAGUAAAAUUAAAGCAAAUGUCAUAGCUGAUCUGCUUUGAAUGCUGGAGAGCCUCAGAAAAGUUUAACACACUUAGACUAAAAACACAAGGAUUUUGUCUUGUGUUUAAGAUGUUGUCUUGGUUAUAGAGUGUAGCUUUCAUAAACACACAUUGAUCAAAUUGCACUUGUUGGAACUGGUUUUAGAAAGCAUGUAUCAGAGAGAUAGAUGUGACUCUUCCUAGAAAUCAGCCUGCAGUUAUCAUUCACAUGCAUAUGGUAGGAGAUAUUGAAGGAGCGAGUUGGGAACUAAAAAUAUCACAGGACAUUGAUCAGAAUUAAGAAGAUCAGUUCCAACAGAACAGGUCCUAGAAAUUAGAGUGCUCCUGGGAGAAAUUAGAAAUACUUGGUCACCACAGAAGUCAAUAUGUUAGACCCUGUGCUUGUGUAGAUUAGCAUUGAAAUCAAUAAAGCUCUUAGAGUUUGUCACA